rnacentral:ncRNA from 1 species
UACCUGAUUGAUUCUGUCAGCGCGAUAUGCUCAAGUAAAAGAUUAAGCCAUGCAUGCUUUGAUUCAUAAAUGAAAUUGCUACGGCUCAUUAGAGCAGAUAUCACCUUUCUCGGAAUCCUGAAAAGGAUAACUGCGGAAAUUCUGGAGCUAAUACAUGCGACUAUACUCCAACGCAAGGCGGGGUGCAAUUAUUAGAACAGACCAAACGUUUUCGGACGUUGUUUGUUGACUCUGAAUACCGUCGUUUACUGUCAGUUUCGACUGACUCUAUCCGAGAAGGGUGUCUGCCCUUUCAACUAGAUGGUAAUCUAUUGGACUACCAUGGUUGUUACGGGUAACGGAGAAUUAGGGUUCGACUCCGGAGAGGGAGCCUUAGAAACGGCUACCACGUCCAAGGAAGGCAGCAGGCGCGAAACUUAUCCACUGUUGAGUAUGAGAUAGUGACUAAAAAUAUAAAGACUCAUCCUUUUGGAUGAGUUAUUUCAAUGAGUUGAAUAUAAAUUAUUCUUCGAGUAGCAAGGAGAGGGCAAGUCUGGUGCCAGCAGCCGCGGUAAUUCCAGCUCUCCUAGUGUAUCUCGUUAUUGCUGCGGUUAAAAAGCUCGUAGUUGGA